GGGGGUGAACAGGUUUCGACGAGAACGAUUGAUGUUAAGACAGCAGGUCGGAGUUAGUCGAUGGCUCCGUAAAAAUCGACUAAAAAAUAAAUGACAGUAAUUCUAUUCCAAUGCAUAACACGAAUUCUCUCGCGGGUUUGGGAGGAGUUAUGUUAGCCCUUUUAGCUUUAAGAACAAGAAAGACUAACACAAAGCGUGAGAAUUUUAGAAUGCAGGAAGUGUCAAUGGCCGCAUAAGACGGCCACGUUUUACCUUAGACACCUGCUAUUAGGAUAAAACGACAAGAAGCAGGUUAGUUUUAAACUUGUUUACGUUGCUAGUUUAAAAUGAAACUAAAACAGCGUUAGUUUAUAAGGCGAGCUUGUUUGGAAGCGGCGUUAUAAAUGAGGAAAUAUUCCAGACUAAACCUGUAGCGGUCUUACUGAAGCAUUUUCGGACGCGGGUUCAAUUCCCGCCACCUCCAUCU
rnacentral:tmRNA from 1 species